rnacentral:rRNA from 1 species
AUACGGAGGAUCCGAGCGUUAUCCGGAUUUAUUGGGUUUAAAGGGUGCGCAGGCGGCCAUUUAAGUCAGCGGUUAAAUCGUGGGGCUCAACCCCAUUCUGCCGUUGAUACUGGGUGGCUUGAUUGCGGUCGAGGUUGGCGGACUUCGUUGUGUAGCGGUGAAAUGCAUAGAUAUGACGAAGAACACCGAUUGCGUAGGCAGCUGACCAGACCGCAAAUGACGCUCAUGCACGAAAGUGCGGGGAUCGAACAGGAUUAGAUACCCUGGUAGUCCGCACAGUAAACGAUGAAUACUUGUUUUCGGCGAUAUAAUGUCGGAGGCAAAGCGAAAGCGAUAAGUAUUCCACCUGGGGAGUACGCCGGCAACGGUGAAACUCAAAUGAAUGGACGGGG